rnacentral:Y_RNA from 1 species
GGCUGGUCCGAUGGUAGUGGGUUAUCAUCAGAACUUAUUAACAUUAGUGUCACUAAAGUUGGUAUACCACCCCCCACUGCUAAAUUUGACUGGCUUUAA